AUCUAUAAAGUAUAAUAGUAUAUAUGACUUCCAAUCAUAAGGUUUAGUAACUUAACUAAUAUAGAUA
rnacentral:tRNA from 1 species